GUAAAGGGUUUUGAGCUUGGAAUUUUGGAAUUCUUCAGGGGUAAAAGGUUUUGAGCUUGGAAUUCUUCAGGGGUAUAACCAUAAAAAACAUGUAUCCUCGACAGGGGGUGUACGGAUAUUAAAUGGAAUAGCCCAUUCCUUGUACUUGGGAGCACAGAGUAAACAGGUUACCUUCGCAUUCGUUUUGCUUAUUGACUUUAUAGCAAACAUAUCGGAAAGAUAUGGUUCUCAUUUGUUGGUUCUGGCUCUUCGUCUUCGCACUGUUCAACUUCAAGAAUUGAAAUAUCUUCUGUAACAGAAUCACCAUCUUCGUUCGACAUAUUUGCGAAAUUAUAAUAUUAAAUGCG